GCUGGGAUGGCCGAGUCGUUAAGGCGAGUGAUUUGAAUAUUUCACUAUCACUUGGUGUUUCACCGCGUAGGUUCAAAUCCUGCUCCCAGCG